rnacentral:rRNA from 1 species
UGGGGAAUAUUGCACAAUGGGCGCAAGCCUGAUGCAGCCAUGCCGCGUGUGUGAAGAAGGCCUUCGGGUUGUAAAGCACUUUCAGCGAGGAGGAAGGUGGUGAGCUUAAUACGCUCAUCAAUUGACGUUACUCGCAGAAGAAGCACCGGCUAACUCCGUGCCAGCAGCCGCGGUAAUACGGAGGGUGCAAGCGUUAAUCGGAAUUACUGGGCGUAAAGCGCACGCAGGCGGUUUGUUAAGUCAGAUGUGAAAUCCCCGGGCUCAACCUGGGAACUGCAUUUGAAACUGGCAAGCUAGAGUCUCGUAGAGGGGGGUAGAAUUCCAGGUGUAGCGGUGAAAUGCGUAGAGAUCUGGAGGAAUACCGGUGGCGAAGGCGGCCCCCCUGGACGAAGACUGACGCUCAGGUGCGAAAAGCGUGGGGAGCAAAACAGGAUUAGAUACCCUGGUAGUCCACGCUGUAAAACGAUGUCGAUUUGGAGGUUGUGCCCUUGAGGCGUGGCUUCCGGAGCUAACGCGUUAAAUCGACCGCCUGGGGAGUACGGCCGCAAGGUUAAAAACUC